ACUCUUAUGAGGCCCCGUAAUUGGAAUGAGGACAAUCUAAAUCCUUUAACGAGGAUCGAUUGGAGGGCAAGUCUGGUGCCAGCAGCCGCGGUAAUUCCAGCUCCAAUAGCGUAUAUUAAAGUUGUUGUGGUUAAAAAGCUCGUAGUUGGAUCUCAGUUCCAGUCAGGCGGUCCACUUGCCAGUGGCUACUGCCUGACUGAACACUUUACCGAGUUGUCCUAUGGUGUUCUUCACCGAGCGUCAUAGGCGAUCGGUACGUUUACUUUGAAAAAAUUAGAGUGCUCAAAGCAGGCGUAACGCCCGAAUAAUGUUGCAUGGAAUAAUGGAAUAGGACCUCGGUUCUAUUUUGUUGGUCUUCGGAAUCAGAGGUAAUGAUCAAUAGGGACAGACGGGGACAUUCGUAUUGCGGCGCUAGAGGUGAAAUUCUUGGACCGUCGCAAGACGAACUAAAGCGAAAGCAUUUGUCAAGAAUGGUUUCAUUAAUCAAGAACGAAAGUUAGAGGUUCGAAGGCGUUCAGAUACCGCCCUAGUUCUAACCAUAAACGAUGCCAACCAGUAAUUCGUCUGAGUUCCUUAAAUGACUCGACGAGGGACUUCCGGGAAACCAAAGUCUUUCGGUUCCAGGGGAAGUAUGGUUGCAAAGCUGAAACUUAAAGAAAUUGACGGAAGGGCACCACCAGGAGUGGAGCCUGCGGCUUAAUUUGACCCAACACGGGAGAACUCACCCGGCCCGGACACUGGAAGGAUUGACAGAUUGAGAGCUCUUUCUUGAUUCAGUGGGUGGUGGUGCAUGGCCGUUCUUAGUUGGUGGAGUGAUUUGUCUGGUUAAUUCCGAUAACGAACGAGACUCUAGCCUACUAAAUAGAUCGUCGGCUUACAAACGCCGGCGAGACUUCUUAGAGGGACAGGCGGUGAUUCAACCGCACGAAACAGAGCAAUAACAGGUCUGUGAUGCCCUUAGAUGUCCGGGGCCGCACGCGCGCUACACUGAAGUGAUCAGCGUGCUUUUUCAACCUACUCUGUCAAGAGUGGGGAACCCAAUGAACCUUCUUCGUGAUUGGGAUAGGGGAUUGUAAUUAUUCCCCUUGAACGAGGAAUUCCCAGUAAGCGCGAGUCAUAAGCUCGCGUUGAUUACGUCCCUGCCCUUUGUACACACCGCCCGUCGCUACUACCGAUUGAAUGUUUUAGUGAGGUCUUCGGACUGGCCGGCGCAGCACUCUCGUAGUGCAGCGCUGUGUUUGGAAAGAUGCCCAAACUUGAACAUUUAGAGGAAGUAAAAGU
rnacentral:rRNA from 1 species